rnacentral:rRNA from 1 species
UACGAAGGGGGGCUAGCGUUGCUCGGAAUUACUGGGCGUAAAGGGCGCGUAGGCGGCACUGUUAGUCAGGCGUGAAAGUCCUGGGCUCAACCUGGGAACUGCGCUUGAUACGGCAGAGCUAGAGGAUGGAAGAGGGUCGCGGGAAUUCCCAGUGUAGAGGUGAAAUUCGUAGAUAUUGGGAAGAACACCGGUGGCGAAGGCGGCGACCUGGUCCAUUACU